AUUGCUUCUGCGGAACCUCUCCGAAAAAACACGGAGGGUUUAAUGAAACUUAAUGAACUGUCUAUUUUGUCCUCGUUCUUUCCUAAAAAUGACACUGAACGCAGCAGCCUUAUCUCUUCCCUUCAUUGCAGAUACUUCCCUCUCUAUCGUUCUCCUCUCCUGCUCCUUUCUUUGCAGUCAAAUCCCUAACCCUAAUCCUCAUCGGCACAAAUUGGGAGAGAAGCCCUCUACUUGUCCUCCCUUCGUCUCUGAGAAGCAUCAUCAGAAAUACGAGAGGAGUUAUUUUUGAUUGUCUUCCCAUCCUUUCCUCUCUACGGUCAACUAUUCAAGCAUUCUUCUGGUGUUCUUCAAAAGCAUUCUUCUGAUCAACUACUUCUCCUCCCUUCAACUAUUCAAGCAUCGUUCUCCAAUUCUAAAAGGUCAUGCUAAAGAUCAAGUUUAAUUGAUAUAUGAAAGUGCAGCAAUUUGAGAGUUUGAAGAGGAGGCAGUAGUGUGUACUUUUUAGUUCUCAUUUGGUUCCCUUUAAGAUAUGUUUACAGUACUUUUGUAAAACGAUAAAUCAUGAAGUUUGUAGUUUUUCAUAAUUGAGACCUUAAUCCAUGGGCCUUGUACUAUUUUUUUCCCCCUUGUAUUGCUUGGUUCUCAUAUCUAUGGUUGUUCAGUUGCUCUUUGACCAAUAAAGAGCAGCAAAGAUGGUAAUGGGAAUAUAAUAAACCUUCAAAUGUGAUAGAAGGGCUGCUGAAUUGGAAAAAUUUACAUACAUUAAA